GCGAGGGGCUUUCGUCGGCAUCCGGCGAGGAAGCCCUCCCAGUGCCGGCUAGAGCGUCGAGUGGCGGAAAACGUCGUCACAAAAGUCGUUCCAGGAGGCGGGCAAAGAGGCGCAAGGACGAUACCUCGGCUUCGACCACCUCAGGGCUCGCGGACGUGCACAUAUGGAUGGUGGGACAUUCCAUAGUCCAUUGGGCAGGCCUUCGCGCUGGCCAAACGCCAUUGGGUCCUCGACUUGGCCUUCCAUCCAACAUCCAAGUGACCUGGAUGGGCAAGAGGGGCAUGCGCUGGGGGGAGCUUCUCCCUUUGCUGCGGCGCAAAGCCCUCUUGCUCGGGUGCCCGUCCGCCCUGGUGAUCCAGCUGGGAGAAAAUGACAUCCCCGCUGUGGACCCGUUAUCUCUUCGCCUGGCUAUCCUACGAGAUUUGUUGGAGAUAAGGACUUGGUUCCCUGAUACCGUCGUUUUUUGGUCCCAAAUGUUGCAGAGGAUGCAAUGGCGGGGUGAUAUUCCUCCUCUGGCUGGGGAAAGAGCUAGGAAGAGGGUUAACAGCGCAGCAUCCAAACGGGUGUACGAAAUCGGGGGGAGUUUGAUUCGUCAUCCCGCAAUUAAUGUUAGAGCCCCGCUUUUAUAUCGGGAUGAUG